rnacentral:rRNA from 1 species
AGUGAACGCUGGUGGUAGGCCUAACACAUGCAAGUCGAACGGCAGCACAGUAAGAGCUUGCUCUUACGGGUGGCGAGUGGCGGACGGGUGAGGAAUACAUCGGAAUCUACUUUUUCGUGGGGGAUAACGUAGGGAAACUUACGCUAAUACCGCAUACGACCUACGGGUGAAAGCAGGGGAUCUUCGGACCUUGCGCGAUUGAAUGAGCCGAUGUCGGAUUAGCUAGUUGGCGGGGUAAAGGCCCACCAAGGCGACGAUCCGUAGCUGGUCUGAGAGGAUGAUCAGCCACACUGGAACUGAGACACGGUCCAGACUCCUACGGGAGGCAGCAGUGGGGAAUAUUGGACAAUGGGCGCAAGCCUGAUCCAGCCAUACCGCGUGGGUGAAGAAGGCCUUCGGGUUGUAAAGCCCUUUUGUUGGGAAAGAAGAGCAGCAGGUUAAUACCCCGCUGUUCUGACGGUACCCAAAGAAUAAGCACCGGCUAACUUCGUG